UUAACGUUCCUUUUGGAUGCUAACUGAAAGGAGGUGGUUUUAUAUAUUUAGGUCAUUGGAACCACAGUCGAGGAUCCCUAGGGUGUUCUAUAAUGGAGCGAGUCCUCAUUCAGUUCACAAAGUGGAAACAAAAGCAAGUGUGUCUCGGGUACAAAUAAUUCAAUCGUGAUGGGUAAAAUUGAUAGAGCUCUUCAGUAAAAAUUAAAAAAGACUUGGGCAUUACUAGAGGUUCUUUGCAGUGUCCUUUCAGCCCCUAGCUGCAACCCCUUUCAUUGCAUUUUCUAUACCCUUCAUAUUUUGUUUCUUCCAUCUUGCUUUCCACUCUCCCCUAACAAUGGUUUCAUUGUGCAAGUGCCAGGUUUUUCUCUUAUUACACCUUUGUAAUCUCUACUCUCAAUUUCCCUUUGUGUGUUGAGUGACCAAGUGCUUUCCCUUUUGCCUUAAUUUUAUGUUCCGUUCUACUGUAUUCUGUGAAAAGAAAAAAUUGUAUAAAAGCAGAUAAAAUUGUUUUUGUGAUCUCCAGGCAGGCUUCUGUAAUUCCAACCCACAUACACAUUAAGAAGGAAGGAAGGGAGCAAGAAGGAAGAAAGGGAGCGAGGUAGAACACAUUAAGAAGGAAGGAAGGAAGGGAGGGAGGUAGAGGAUGAAUUUUGGAUUCUUAGUCCAUUGGAAUUAGAUGAUGAAAAAAGAAUUAAUAAACUCAUGGAAGACAUGACAUUUGACUAAAUUAGGUGAUCUGAUGAGUAUUGUAGACAUAAGGAAAACUUAAUGUUGCACAUCUUUCAGUGGUUGUGGUCUUAAAAUUUUCAUCAAUGAAUUUUGAUUUGUGUA